UGAUAGGAUGACGCAACGUGACCUCAACACAGGAAAUAUAAGGAAGGGGCAAUUGCCAUUAAACUCUUGCUAUCUUGUCUUUUCAUCAUAGUCUACUCUAUGGUGUCAGAUAUAUUUUAAAAAUUUGUUUCUUUUUCCUUUUACUUGGCCCAAACUCACUCUGCAGAGCCUGGUUUUUUUUUCUCCCCCUACCUUUAAUGUGAAACUUUGCCAUCGUUUAUGCUUGUUUCGUUCAAUUCUUUGUUCGGGGCAAAACAAAACCCUAGAAAUCCCCUCUAGAAGUGUUACAGUUGAAUGGGCCAAAAAUAGUCCAGGUUCUUGUGUAUGACGAAGAAAGAAUUGACAAGCUUAAACCUCUUGUUUGAGGUGGGUCUCAUACCUUUGCUAGAAGUCUUACUGGAACGUGAGGCACUGUUAAAAGACAUUGGUACAGAUGGACAUUUCUGAGUAAUCGGAUGCACAUAUGAUAUGUUAGAGCCAUGCAUCUUGCUGUUUGGGGAUGUUUCUCUAGGUAACAAUCCAUAGUAUCCUUACAUUGUAUACACAUAUCAGGACUAACUAUGACAGCUGUGAAUACUUCUCAUGUAUAGAGGGAGCUUUCUACCCACAGUUUUCUGAUGUCUUUGAAAUUGGAAGAUGGAUGGAGAGGAGGGGAAAGAAGAGAAAACAAAUCUUGCUGGCCCCGUUUCAGGGUGGCUUUGUUAUCCCUGGUCAAAUGUUUGAAGAUGAUGAUCUCAGAGCAUUUUUGUGGGGGUUCUGUGACCCCUCUUGAUUUUAACAGUCUCCAUCUCUUCUUCCCCCUCUGUUUGGUGACACACUACACAACCUCUUAGUCCUGGAGGGCUCCGCAGUCGGCAGGCUGCCAUCUUGGGCAAAGUUGAUAUACAGUCUUUGGGAUUUACACUACCGCUGGAGGGGGGGAGUGUGUUUACUUUCUAGAUGCAGCCUUUUAAUCUGAUACCGCUUUCAAAAUUAUGUCAACAUCAGUUCACUGUGUGCCACUUGCUGUUGAGUACACAUGAAGCUCAGGCUGUGUCUGUGGAACCCAUUUCACUCUACUUGGGGAAAAGAGGUAGUACUCCCACCCUAACCCAGCCUCCCAGAAAUCACAGUGGGGGGACUCAAGAUUCAGCUGUCUCCAAAAGAUUAAAAUUUGUCUUCCUUUCAAAUUCUCUUAAUUCUAACAUUCUCCUUUUAUGUCCUUGAUAUGGAUGAAGUAUCUAGCUGGAUAUAUCUCCUAGUAUGAAGUUUUCUCAUAUUAGUCAAUCUUACAUGUCCCUUUGGUAUUCAAAGUCCUACCGUUUCAGUUGAAACUUCCAAUUAAACACUUUUAUAGAUACUAUGAUCUACCAGUUAUGAUAAAAAUGGUUAAUGUUGAAACUUUAAAAAUAUUUGUUACAGUAAAAGACACAUUGCCAUUAACCCCCUUCAAAAUACUCUCCCUACCUUCAGUAAUACCCCAUCAUUCUUGCCACUUUCUGAAUUAGUUCUGGAAGUCUUUCAUGAGGAAGGACUCUUUUGUGAAUGUCUUUAAUUGUGCUGUUAUGGCUGCCUCCAGGCCUGAAUCAAUUCAAAACAUUUCCCUUUCAUGGUUAUUUUGACUUUGGGGCAGAGCCAGAAGUUUCAUGCUGCCAGAUCCAGUGCAUAAGGUAGUGGGGACACACUGUGAUGCUUUUAUUUGACAGCAAUUGACAUAAAUGUUUGAUUAACAAGGGGUGAUCAUAAAAUACAGUGAAUGAUACAGUGAAUGUUGAAAUGAAAAUAUUUAUUGUGGUAGAAAACACAUUGCCAUUAAUCCCCCUCAAAAUACCACCCCUCAUUUUGAAUACACUUAUCCUAUUUUUAACCCAUUGUGUCUUUUACUGUAAGAAGUUUUCAAAAAAUUGAACAUUAACUGUAUUUUUCCAUAACCCCUUGUAUAUGAGACAUGUUUGAUUAUAUUUGUACCUUUCUUUCAUCUAAUCCUCAUUGUGACCAAGUUGUAUAUGCUUAAAGAUACAGAUCUUGUUCUGAGGAUCUUAAGUUUCUAAUUAAUUAAUCUAAAUUUUUGCAAUGCUAUUGGCUGGCUGGUUGUUUUAAUAUUAGCCACAGAAAACAAUGACAUCUAAGGAAAAUGUAUUAAUUUGCUGUAUUUUCAAGAUGUGUUUUGAGUUUUGUAAAAUUUGAGUGUUUCAGAAAUAUGGAAGUACGGUAUGUAAAAAUGUCUGAAAGGAUGUUCACCACAUUGAUGUUUAUCACAAAGAUGAAAGCAAUGUAAAUGCCUAAGUAUAGGUUAUGGUGUUGCUAAUAAUGGAAUAUUAUUAAAAUAUUGGAGAGGAAUAUUUAAUGACCUGAAAAGAUGUUCAUUUUUUAUAACAUAUUGUAAAUAAAAAUGAAAAUAUGGGGAAUAAAAAGGUGCCCACCUUAUUAUCUUAUUUUGGUAAAAAUGUGCAUGUUUAUACCUAAAA